rnacentral:rRNA from 1 species
UACGUAGGGGGCAAGCGUUGUCCGGAAUCAUUGGGCGUAAAGCGCGUGUAGGCGGCUUGGUAAGUCUGGUGUGAAACCUCGGGGCUCAACCCCGAGCCUGCACUGGAUACUGCCUCGCUCGAGUCCGGGAGGGGAGAGCGGAAUUCCUAGUGUAGCGGUGAAAUGCGCAGAUAUCAGGAGGAACACCUGUGGUGUAGACAGCUUACCGGACCACUUCUGACGCUGAGACACGAAAGCGUGGGUAGCAAACAGG